UAGGUGCUUAGCACUCGAGAAGGUGGCAGAGUCGCUUGAAUUGCCUUGCAAGUAUUAUUCAUUGGGAUGUACUGAGAUAUUCCCAUACUACAGUAAACUUAAGCACGAGGCUUUGUGCAAUUAUAGACCCUAUAGUUGCCCAUAUGCUGGUUCGGAAUGCUCUGCUGUUGGGGACAUUCCUUUCCUUGUUGCCCAUCUGAGGGAUGAUCAUAAGGUGGAUAUGCACACGGGCUGCACAUUUAACCAUCGCUAUGUGAAAUCCAAUCCAAGGGAAGUGGAAAAUGCCACUUGGAUGCUUACUGUG
rnacentral:misc_RNA from 1 species